rnacentral:lncRNA from 1 species
AAACGCUUUUUUUUUCAAUCAAAACAAGGUUGAAACUUCACUAAUCUCUAUCCCAAUUUCAGCAACACACCCGAAACCAACUAUUUAUUAACAAUUAUUCAGUACAGCAGAGUAUAGUACACGGACACUGAAUAAUUUUUAAACAAGCAGAGUAGGCAAACAACAUGAAGAACAGUAAGAAUCAUAAUGUAAAACCAAAAAAUCCCUAAACUUUUGAUAGAUAGCUAGUGAUCUAAGAAUAUUAAAUCCAAAAACAAAACCUACAGAUUUUGAGAAAUACCAAAUGAAAAUCGUAGAAAUAUAAAGGAAGAUGAGUGGAGGAAGAAGAAAACCGUUGUUGUCGUUCGAAAUCUAACCCUAACGCCCAAAACAUCUUCAAACAUGUGUUCUACCGAACUUUCUAUUCUCCUCUUAGCUUACGCGGCAUCAAUUCUUGCAUUCCUG